UCCUCUCCCAUCUGCAGCCUCUCUCUUCAUGCUAAUAAUUGCUUCCUCCACUGUGCAGAAGCGUUUCAGUUUGAUGCCAUUUCACUUAUUGAUUCUUGCUUUUAUUGAGUUUUAGGUGUCUUGUUAAGGAGGUUGGUGCUGCACCAGUCUAUUGGAUUGUUGACCCUUGACCCUACGUUGCUUCCAGCAAUCGCAUAGUUUGUGGUCAAAGUCCUGGGUCUUUGGUCCACACUGGGUUGACUUUUGUGCAGGGAGAGAGAUAAGGGUCUAGUUUUAUUCUUGCACAUAUGGAUUACCAUUUUCCCCAGCACCAUUUUUUCAAAAGGCUGUCUUUUCUCCAGGGUAUGUUUUUGGCACCUUUUUCAAGGAUCGGAUGACAGCAGAUGUGUGGGCUGUCUCUGUGUCUUCUAGUCUGUACCACUGGUCUAUGUUUUGAUGCAGUGACAUGCAGUUCCGUUACUAUAGCUCUGUGGUGUGAUUUGGGAUCAGGAAUGGAGGUGCCUCUGGCAUUGCUCUCCUUGCUUGGGAUUGCUUUGGUUAUUCUGGGUUUUUGCCCAGCAGAUUAGGUCUUUUGAAUACAGAAGGAGAUCAUCUUAGGACAUAAGAAAUGGAGCCUUUGAACUGGGGGCGACUGGUUUAAGUGGGUCAGCUAGUCUGGAGUUCAGGUGAGCAGUUUCAGGGUGCAGGCGAGGGUGUGUACACAGAUGGACAUUCAGAGGUGUGGACUCAGGAGAUACAGGGAGGACAGAUAGAGAGAGGUGAUGGAUGAUAGCCAGGUGGAUAGCUAGUGACAGAUGAUAGACAGUGACUCACUGAUGACAGACAGGUAUAGAGAGUGACUGAGAGUUGUUGGGGUGCCCCAAUGUGGGGGUGACCCACAUGGUCUAACCCUAGAGGCUUGCAAGGGGCAAAGGGAUUAAGAAAGACACCUGAACAUUUAUAAAGAGACAGCUGGGACCAGGCGGGACACUGUCCUCUGAUGGAGGAGCAGCGAUCUGAGCUGGUGCAGCAGGUCGAUCACGUAGGUUUUAUCAUCAAAAGGUGAUCUGUGGGAAAGUCCCUCCAGCGCAGGCAGGCUUGAAGGCCGCACUUGCAAGAUACUGAGGUUAUCUUGUUAUGCUUGGAACUCUCUGUCCCCUGCAGCUGGUGUCUGAGCUCGAGGCCAGCACUCCCAUGGUCCUGUACCUUGGCACAGAGCUUCCUCAGUCAGGGCAUUGCCUCGCACAGCUCCUGGGCAGUCUCGUCCUGCACCUUUGCACGGAGAGUUCCCACGGCAAAGCACAGCCACGGCUCCAAGGCAGUCAGAGUCCGUGGUCCAGGUCAUGUUCUCCACCCCAGGAGGGCGACUAUGCAGAAAGAGAGAGACUGAACCAAGAGCCCAGAGUCACUCCAAAGCCCGCAGUUUGCAGGUGCCCAGAAGGCAGCUUGUCCUGGGCCAUGCUGAGAGUGGAGCUGCAGGGAGCCAGGGAAGGUCCAGGUCACAGGCUUGGUGACGUCCCAUGUUGAGGAUGGAUUCAGGUCUAAUGGUUGACCCAGCUCCCAGGUGGAGGAUGGAGGUCCCUGUGCUGCCCAGGAUUGCCAGUCAGGGUGGCGUGGCUGGCUUCACACCCAGGGGCAGCCCCCAGCCCUCCCAGGAUGGGCUCUCCUACACCAGGAUCCCUCCAGGGUGACAGCGUGUCGUGUAUAUCAUGUGGAAACCAGAGAGUCGUGGCCUGAGAGAGGCCCCCGGGGAGCCCCAGGCGUGGCCCAGUUCUCCCUCCAGGACGUGGCCCCCUUCCACAUGGGGACUUACUACUGCCAAUACCGGACAGAAGGUGACUCAUCAGGAUGCAGCGACCCACUGGAGCUGGUGGUGACCGGCGCCUACAAGGACAAACCCUCCCUGACAGCUCAGCCUGGUCCCCAGGUGGCCUCAGGAGGACAG